rnacentral:misc_RNA from 1 species
CAGGGGUUUUAAAUGCCAAGCUUUGGAGGUGAGGUUUUUGCCUCUCUUCCAGGCGGCAUUCUAACCACCAUAAUUCACCGUGUGCACUCAUUUGGACUAUGGAAUAACUUCCUGGUCCCCAAUCUUUCUACGCCUUAUCACAUGUCUGAUAUAUUAUUUUUCAAAUUUUGAUAAAAUA